CGUUGAAACACCGGUUCUCGGACGAUCACCAAAGUUAAACAAAGUCGAUCCUGGUCAGGACCAAGAUGGGUGACCGCUUAGGAAUACCGGGUGUUGUAA